GACGAACGCUGGCGGCGUGCUUAACACAUGCAAGUCGAACGGAAAGGCCCUGCUUGCAGGGUGCUCGAGUGGCGAACGGGUGAGUAACACGUGGGUGAUCUGCCCCUUACUUUGGGAUAAGCCUGGGAAACUGGGUCUAAUACUGGAUAGGACCAUGCUGUAGGUGGUGUGGUGGAAAGAUUAGUUUCGGUAAGGGAUGAGCUCGCGGCCUAUCAGCUUGUUGGUGGGGUAAUGGCCUACCAAGGCGUCGACGGGUAGCCGGCCUGAGAGGGUGGACGGCCACAUUGGGACUGAGAUACGGCCAAAACUCCUACGGGGGGAAGGAGGGGGGAAUAUUGCAAAAGGGGGGAAAGCCUGAGGAAGCGGCGCCGGGGGGGGGAUGACGGCCUUCGGGGUGUAAACCCCUUUAAGCCAUGAAAAAGCCCUUGGGGGGACGGUAGGGGUAAAAGAAACACCGGCUAACUACGU
rnacentral:rRNA from 1 species